CAGAGAAUAGUUUAUUUAAAAUUUUAAUUUUGGAGAUUAAUGAUACAGUUUUUUGUUUCUCUGA
rnacentral:tRNA from 1 species